GCAGCAGUUAGGUUUCCUAUCUUCUGGGGAUUCAGAUCGCGUUGGUUUUAGACGACGCUCCCAUGUUGUCCACUUCCCGUAAUUUAGCUGCAGUUGAAGACGGUUUUUGGGUUUGUACAAGAAUGCAGUUGUUAAAAGAGUGGGUAUAAAACUAGAUCGGUAUGAACAACAUUGAAAGUUUUUAGAGUUUUUUCAUCAAAAUCUACAGUAAAACGAGGAGAUUCAAACAGGGUUGUGUUGUUCUAGGCUGGUAGUAAUACGAUGAACUGGUGGUAUGUUCGAUGCCCUUUUCAUCACUGCCGACUUUGGUUUUUCGGUUGCCCCUCAUCCCUCCCGGGUCUAUUGAGCACAUAUUCGUGUAAAAAUCCUUUGGAUGCUGUAAUUGAAGGGCGAAAUUGAAGCGUAACGGGUGAUGACUUUCUGGGUUUAAGUUUUUAUGAAGCGGGAAAAGCUUUAUAUUCCGCAAAACACUUACUGUUCUCGUGAAUUAGAGAAAAUAGGCGAAGAACUUCACUUCACGUAUCAAGUCAUUUGUUUUCAAUUUGGAACAUUAAGCCAUUAAGGUAUAAUUCUAUUUAAAUUUUGUGAUUCUUUUUCACUAUUGAUUAAAGUGUUGUUUCUUAAUACCACUAACAUUUGAUUAUUUGUAUCUAAUAUUUUUAUUGCAUCUUUAAUCAGUUUUAUGCUUUACAUUAACAUGAGCACUUUUGGUUUAAAGGUAUAUGUUAAUUAACGCGCACAUCCGCCAUUUGAUAAUUUGAGUUGUAUAGCAACCAAACUGUUCUAUUGUUCUUGAAAAUCAAUGAUUUAUAUGUUUAUUCUACGAUUUUUUUUUUGUUUUAUUCACUGGGUAUCUAUGAAUUCUUCAUUGUUGGGUGUUGUGUUGUUAAUACUUAUUUCUAAGAACUUCCAUCUCGCUUAUAAUAUGUGUUUUUAUGCCCUCAGGCUCUGUUCAUCUUAUAAAGAUAAACCACUAUUCAUCAAUCUACAAAUUUCGGACUAAAAGAACGAAGGUUGGAAGGAGAAGAAUACAUCUCCAUAGUGGACGAAUUGAUGGAAGCCCUUCAUACACGUUGUCCAAAAGCUCUUAUCUAGUUGGAAGAUUUACAAUCCAAGUGGGCUUUUGAGAUUCUUCAAAGAUACAUAAAGAAGUACAGGUCCAUUACUAAAUUUUCACCAAGAUUUGAUCUUUUUUUGUUCUGCAUGUUUUAAUUUGCAAUUGGAAUAAAGGGUACUAUAU